GAUGAACGCUGGCGGCGUGCCUAAUACAUGCAAGUCGAGCGAACGGACGAGAAGCUUGCUUCUCUGAUGUUAGCGGCGGACGGGUGAGUAACACGUGGAUAACCUACCUAUAAGACUGGGAUAACUUCGGGAAACCGGAGCUAAUACCGGAUAAUAUUUUGAACCGCAUGGUUCAAAAGUAAAAGACGGUCUUGCUGUCACUUAUAGAUGGAUCCGCGGUGCAUUAGCUAGUUGGUAAGGUAACGGCUUACCAAGGCAACGAUGCAUAGCCGACCUGAGAGUGUGAUCGGCCACACUGGAACUGAGACACGGUCCAGACUCCUACGGGAGGCAGCAGUAGGGAAUCUUCCGCAAUGGGCGAAAGCCUGACGGAGCAACGCCGCGUGAGUGAUGAAGGUCUUCGGAUCGUAAAACUCUGUUAUUAGGGAAGAACAUAUGUGUAAGUAACUGUGCACAUCUUGACGGUACCUAAUCAGAAAGCCACGGCUAACUACGUG
rnacentral:rRNA from 1 species